rnacentral:rRNA from 1 species
GACGAACGCUGGCGGCGUGCUUAACACAUGCAAGUCGAACGAUGAAGCCUAGCUUGCUAGGUGGAUUAGUGGCGAACGGGUGAGUAAUACGUGAGUAACCUACCUUUAACUCUGGGAUAAGCCUGGGAAACUGGGUCUAAUACCGGAUACGACCAAUCUCCGCAUGGGGUGUUGGUGGAAAGCGUUAUGUAGUGGUUAUAGAUGGGCUCACGGCCUAUCAGCUUGUUGGUGAGGUAACGGCUCACCAAGGCGACGACGGGUAGCCGGCCUGAGAGGGUGACCGGCCACACUGGGACUGAGACACGGCCCAGACUCCUACGGGAGGCAGCAGUGGGGAAUAUUGCACAAUGGGCGCAAGCCUGAUGCAGCGACGCCGCGUGAGGGAUGACGGCCUUCGGGUUGUAAACCUCUGUUAGCAGGGAAGAAGAGAAAUUGACGGUACCUGCAGAGAAAGCGCCGGCUAACUACGUGCCAGCAGCCGCGGUAAUACGUAGGGCGCGAGCGUUGUCCGGAAUUAUUGGGCGUAAAGAGCUUGUAGGCGGUUUGUCGCGUCUGCUGUGAAAGGCCGGGGCUUAACUCCGUGUAUUGCAGUGGGUACGGGCAGACUAGAGUGCAGUAGGGGAGACUGGAAUUCCUGGUGUAGCGGUGGAAUGCGCAGAUAUCAGGAGGAACACCGAUGGCGAAGGCAGGUCUCUGGGCUGUAACUGACGCUGAGAAGCGAAAGCAUGGGGAGCGAACAGG